CAUUCCCGGCUGUAGAAUGGAAGAAGGAGGAAAGGGCAGAGGGAUGCUUCAUCUGACUAUUCUCGUUUAAAGGAGCAUCUUUGAUAGUACUUAAUGAGAACCUGGAGUAAUUUCCAGGAGAUCACAGAGAGGGUGCAAGAGCAACAAGGCCUCACAAACACAGAAAAGCAGGCUUCCAGGCAAUUAUAAUAGACUUGGGCAGGCAUUUUGCAAAGACUACUGCAGGAAAAUGGAGCUUCUUUAGAAAUAGAUAGUUGAGUACUCUGUGAUUUUUAAAUGAGCACAGGGAGACACUGUUGAUGCCCAGAAUCCUCUACAAUUAGUGGCAAGAGCUCUGAGAAACCCAGGGAAAGGGCAGAGAGAAGGUCAGGUUCAGUCGAAUCUGGAUGCUGGAAGAGAAAGAGGACCCAGCCAGAUCUAAACAGAGAGCAUCCUCAGAUGCUGCACCUGGUCAGGGGGCUCUCUCCUCCUUGGUGAUGAGGGUCUGGUGUGAAUGCGGGUUCACUGCCAUGUGACAAGCACUCUUGUGUCCAAGCCAUCCCACCCAGACACCAGGUAAACAUCUUCCUGGAGGGCUGACAGGCCACUGGGCCAUUUCCUAGGACAGUUGGAACUCUCCCCAGGGCAGUAGCCUCAUUGAAGUAUUCUAUCUGUAAAUUUAACCAACGCAAAACCAUAUGUGUGUUAUGUGGUGGGAUGUGAAGAUGACAGCCUUCCUCCUGUAGGGUUGAGACAUUCUGGAACUUCGUGAAAGUCCACCAUUUGGCUUCUUCCUGUGAGCACAGGGACAACCUUCUCAUCCAGCUGUCCCGAGGCGGCACGAUGCCACAAGUACUUAGGUUGGCCCUAGCUCCACUACUGAGCUUCCUGGACGAGCCUGGGCAAGUUGGCCAACGCCAAGGGCCUCAGAUGCCCAUUUUAAAAGGUGAAGAGGAGAGUACCUGCAUCACAGAGCUGUCGCAAGGAUCAGAGGCACCCCACUCGCUUCCUCUAUUACCACGUGAUCUCUGCACACCAACUCUCCUUCACCUUCUGCCAGGAAUGGACGCGGCCUGUGGCCCUUGCUAGAUGCAGAUUCCCAGCUGUGAACUUCUCCAGACAUCAGAAUCAUGAACUAAAUAAAGCUUUUUUCUUUAUAAAUUACA
rnacentral:lncRNA from 13 species